AUUGAACGCUGGCGGCAUGCUUUACACAUGCAAGUCGAACGGCAGCGCGGGCUUCGGCCUGGCGGCGAGUGGCGAACGGGUGAGUAAUGCAUCGGAACGUGCCCAGUAGUGGGGGAUAGCCCGGCGAAAGCCGGAUUAAUACCGCAUACGACCUGAGGGUGAAAGCGGGGGACCGAAAGGCCUCGCGCUAUUGGAGCGGCCGAUGUCGGAUUAGCUAGUUGGUGGGGUAAAGGCUUACCAAGGCGACGAUCCGUAGCUGGUCUGAGAGGACGACCAGCCACAACUGGAACUGGGACACGGCCAAAAUCCCUCGGGGAGGAAGCAGGGGGAAAUUUUGAAAAAUGGGGCAACCCUGAUCCAGCCAUGCCGCGUGCGGGAAGAAGGCCUUCGGGUUGUAAACCGCUUUUGUUCGGGAAGAAAUCCUCUGGGCUAAUACCCCGGGGGGAUGACGGUACCGGAAGAAUAAGCACCGGCUAACUACGUG
rnacentral:rRNA from 1 species